AAAGUGAAUAGUGAAAUCUGGUGGCUCAACCAUACAGGCUAUUAUUCAAACUCACUGACUCGAGAAUGGUAGAGGUAACUGGAAUUUCUAGUGUAGGAGUGAAAUCCGUAGAUAUUAGAAGGAACACCAAUGGCGUAGGCAGGUUACUGGACCAUUUCUGACACUGAGGCACGAAAGCGUGGGGAGCGAACCGGAUUAGAUACCCGGGUAGUCCACGCCGUAAACGAUGGAUACUA
rnacentral:rRNA from 1 species